GGGAAGGUAGCUCAGCUGGUAGAGCACGUGCUUGACGUGCACGGGGUCCAGGGUUCGAGUCCCUGCCUUCCCACCA
rnacentral:tRNA from 1 species